rnacentral:lncRNA from 1 species
GAAGGAGGUUGGAAUUGUGCUGCAGAAACAGCUUCUAGAACCACCUGGGAAGUCUUAACAGAGCCUGGGAAGAUGGGCCUUUUUCUUGACAUUAUAUUCCGUUUACGUUUAUUGUAAAAUAGGGGCUCUCUUCCCUGUGCUGUGCAGUGUCUCCUUGCAGCUUAUAUAUUUCUACAUAGCAGUUUGUACCUCUCCCUUCCACCAUGUCCCCACAAACAAAUUGGUCACCCCUAGUUUUUUGUAUCUGUGAGUCUUGUGCUUUUGGAUCAUAUUCACUUGUCUGCUGUAUUUUCUACAUUCUAUAUUUGAGUCCUGUGACACAGUAUUGGUCUUUCUCUGGCUGACUCCUGUCACUUAACAUAAUGCCCUCCAAGUCCAUCCCUGUUGCUGCAAAUGGCACGAUUUCAUUCUUUGUCAUGGCCGAGUGGUCUCCCAUUGUGCAUAUGCACCACAUCUUCUUAUCCAUUCCCCUGUCAUUGGACAUGUAGGUUGUUUCCAGGUCUUGGCUCUUGGGAAUACUUCUGCCAUGAACAUGGGGUGCAUGGAUAUUUUGGAGUUGGUUUUCAUAUUUUCUAGGUGUGUGACCAGGAGUGGGGUCAUGGGAUCAUAUGGUCAGUUUCUUCUUCCAUGAUUGAAUAAACGGUAGAGCUUUCAAAACUAUAACUCGUGUCUUUUUCCAUUUCCUAAUUUUUUGGGGGGUGGGCUCCAGGAAAUGUGGCCUUCUCCGUACAUUCUUCGUCAUCAUAUUUCCCUUCCUGGUCUUCCUCCAUCCAUCCAGCCUGAUGUUGCCAUUUCUGUCACCUUCUCUAGUUUCUACUGGAAGGACCCAGAGUCUCUGAUGUACAUUUCACACAGUUGCAUAUUUGUAUGGCUCUGUGUUUCUGUAUCUGAUGCCUAAGGGUAAGGAUUAGACUCUGAAGAACUGAGAUGGUGUAACUGACCUGUGCUUGAGUUGGUGUCUGCUUCCUGAAGGCCUGGGCCUCUGGCCUCUACUCACAGGCCUCUCGGUGUCCCCCAUGUCUUGUUCUUAGGGAAUGUGCUUCAGCCUCCAGGCCCUUCCCUGAGCCCCAAAGGGCAGGAGCCCACAGGUGCUGAUCAUGGAGGGGCCAGCAGGGGACAUCAGGGCCUCCUGGGGGCAGGUCUUGGUUCCCCCUCAAGGGGUACACACAGCAAUGUCUUUGAGCUCUUCUGCAGAACUAAACCC